rnacentral:ncRNA from 1 species
UCCAAUAUAGAUUGCACCGACCCUUUCCCGAACGAUUUAACACCCAUGACAAUCGCUCGUUUGGUAUCUUGCAGGGCUCCUGCAACAAUUUCAGAGGCUGAUGCACUGCCUCCAUUGAUCAAUACCACGAUAGGUUUGUUUGCAAAGUAUUCAUUUGGGGUUGCUUUGAUUUCCUGAUUCAUUGCCUCCAGUCGACCACGAGUUGAUACGAUAGUGUUGUCACUUAGAAAUAGGUCGCUGACACCAAUAGCAGAUGAUAGUGUUCCGCCUGGAUUGUCUCUUA